rnacentral:rRNA from 1 species
GAUGAACGCUGGCGGCGUGCCUAAUACAUGCAAGUCGAGCGAACAGACGAGGAGCUUACUCCUCUGACGUUAGCGGCGGACGGGUGAGUAACACGUGGAUAACCUACCUAUAAGACUGGGAUAACUUCGGGAAACCGGAGCUAAUACCGGAUAACAUGUUGAACCGCAUGGUUCAACAGUGAAAGACGGUCUUGCCGUCACUUAUAGAUGGAUCCGCGUCGCAUUAGCUAGUUGGCAAGGUAACGGCUUACCAAGGCAACGAUGCGUAGCCGACCUGAGAGGGUGAUCGGCCACACUGGAACUGAGACACGGUCCAGACUCCUACGGGAGGCAGCAGUAGGGAAUCUUCCGCAAUGGGCGAAAGCCUGACGGAGCAACGCCGCGUGAGUGAAGAAGGUCUUCGGAUCGUAAAACUCUGUUAUUAGGGAAGAACAAAUGUGUAAGUAACUAUGCACGUCUUGACGGUACCUAAUCAGAAAGCCACGGCUAACUACGUG